GAAUACUGCAUAAUUGAGCAUCAAUCUUCUCCCAAAGUGCUUUGGCCUUUUCAUCUCCUUCACUAGACUUCGUGAUUAUAUGAUCUUGAACACCUUGACCUUUACACCCCAACUCGACAGACGAAGCCCAAGCUAAGUAGUUUGAACUUCUCAUUAAAGGUUCUGAGGUAAUCAUAACACCGGAAUUGCCAGAACCCUGGUUUUUAGACCCGAAGUCAUCGACUCCCAAAGACAUCGUUGGAUUGAAGUGAUGUCUAUAAGAUUAUCACCAAAUAAUAGAAAGAAUCAACUAAAAACUCGCUAAAACAGAUGAAAGAAACACUGUUUUUGCCGAAAAAUUACUGUAGCUGCCGAAAAAAAUCAGUGUAGUCACUGGAAAAACUCAAAAAUGGUCAGAAUUAAAAAAUAAAAUUAUGGGUAGGCUCGGAAUUUGAGGUCGAUCCAACUGCUCUGAAGGAACUUCAUCAAAAAAUACCCGGAAAGUACCUCACACGCCGGCGCGUGGGCUUCGGAUCUUCGCCGGAGAAAUUCUUCCAGCGGCGCGUGGGGGCGCGUGCAGCCUGUUUUGCCGAAGAUUUUUUAUUGGGUUGGUCGCCCAGCUCUGAUUUACUUUCCGGUGGUGUUGGUUUUUUUGCACAACACUGACGGAUAGUAUUAUUCUUGCGGACAGACUGUUUUUGCCCGAAAAAAGGGCUUCCGGAUGACUGUUUCUCUUCCCAGAGUCGCUGGAAUUUAUGCACAGCGAUAAAUUUUCUCACGGUUGCUCUAAUACCAUGUGAGAAAGUACGGGAGAAAAUAUUAUUGCUAUUAUUCUCAUAUGUUAAACUAGAUACAAUGAGCCCUAUAUAUAUAUACAUAAUAUGUCAUACUCCUAAUACAUAUGGGAUUAAGGUUAUUUACUACUAUUUAGUAUUUACAUAACUAUUCUAACAACAAGCACCUUGACAUCUCCAUUAUCAUUCUAUUCUUCCUUUCACUAACCCCAUUAUGUUGCAGAGUAUAUGGGGCAGUGAGUAGAUGCUCAAUUCCUGCAUUUUCAUAGAACGUUUCAAAUCGAUCCGAUGUGUACUUAGUACCAUUAUCUGAUCUCAACAUUUGCAUCCUGCAGCCACUUUGAAUUUCCAGAACACUUCAGGUACUUCAGAUUUGAAUCGGAGAAAAUAAAUCCAACACAUUCUUGUCAUAUCAUCAAUGAAUGCUAUGAGAUAUUUACUUCCUUUGAGAGAAGUAGUCUUAUGUGGUCCACACAAAUCGGUAUGGACUAAUUGAAGUUUCACUGAUGCUCUAUAGGUUGCCUAGGGAAAAGGCAUCCUGCUUUGCUUUUCCAAUUGACAUGUGUUGCAGUUUGAGUGUUCCUCCUCCAUAGGUGGUAGUCCCUGAACCAUAUCUUUCUUUGACAUGUAAAAGAGUGUCAUCUAAUGGAAAUGCCCAAGUCUCUUGUGCCAUACAUCUGCAGUUAUCACGUGGCUUGGAUAGGCAGCCAACUUUUCAUCCAUUGGAUCAAAGGAAAAACUUCUUCCUCUCAUUUUAACUCGACAGACUUCUUGACCCUUUGGAUCAAAGAUCACACACAUCCUGUCCUCAAAAAUAAGCUUGAAACCAUUCUCCAAAAACUGCCCUACGCUCAACAAAUUGUUUGAUCAAUUUCAGGAACAAAGAGCAUAUCUGUAAUUAACUUUGUACCUGAGUAACUUUCAAUAGCUAAUGUGUGUUUCCCUUUGACAGAAAGAUAAUCACCAUUACCAAUUUUGACUUUAGAGAUUAUAGAUUUGUCUAACACAUUGAAAAUUUCCUUAUCACGAGUUAUAUGAUUUGUAAAACCACUGUCAAUUAACCAACUUUCACUUGAACUUUUGCUUGCAAAACAUGUCGCCACAAACAAUUGCUCUUCUUCCUGUUGCUCUGUAAUUUGUGCUUCAUUUGAUUGUUGUGGUCCUUUAUCUCUACAAAUAGUCUCUGCAUGUCCAAGUUUAUGACACUUUCUGCAUCUCAUAUCAAGUUUUCUCCAACACUUGAAGUGUGGAUGGUUUCUCUUCCAGCAAUGCUGGCAAGAGUUGAAUAGUUACCUUGCUUGCAAAGAUCCUUCAACAGCUCCCUCGUUCCUCAUCAAUCUUCUUUGUUCCUGUACUUGCAAAGAGUUUAAAAGUUCCGCCAAACUAAUGUUUGACAGAUCUUUUGUAUUUUCCAGCGAAGCAAUUGUUGCUUCAAACUUAUCAAGUAAAGUAACAAGAAUUUUUUGUACAAUUCUUUUGUCAGAAAGUUCGGCGCCAGGUAACUUUGCCUUAUUUGCUAGA